UGCCAGCAGUUUCGGUUAAACGAUUAAUGUUAUAAAUAAUUUUUUUAUAGUCUUUUUCAGUUUAUUUAAAUGGGGGUGAAAUCUUUUUUUUUAUUAUUUUAGGAUUGUAUAUAAGAGUUGAUGAGGGAAUAAGGAUUAGAUACCCUUUUACUAAUUUUUUGUUAAGUAGUAGUUAUAAUAGGUGAAACUUAAUAAAGAUGGCGGUUUAAAGGUUUUAUAGAGGGGCUUGAUGAGUAAUAGAUGAUCCUCUUUAAAUUUUUACUUUUUCUUUUAUCUUUUUUAUUUUUGUAAUAUUUAAUUUUUGAGAUUUUUUGUGGGUUAAUUUUAUUUUAUAUUGCAAAUCAAAAUGUAGUUUAUGAAUUAGAUUGAUUUAGCCACUUUAUUUUGUUAGUUUAUUUUUUAGUAUUUAUUAGUAAAUUAAUAUUUAAUUAUUUUUUUUGAAUUUUUAACUUUUGAUGCACAUAUCGCCCGUCGCUUUUAUGAAGAUAAAAUAAGUCGUAACAAAGUAGA
rnacentral:rRNA from 1 species